UACGUAGGGUGCGAGCGUUAAUCGGAAUUACUGGGCGUAAAGCGUGCGCAGGCGGUUCGUUGUGUCGGCGGUGAAAGCCCCGGGCUCAACCUGGGAAUGGCCGUUGAAACUGGCGAACUGGAGUGUGGCAGAGGGGGGUGGAAUUCCGCGUGUAGCAGUGAAAUGCGUAGAGAUCGGGAGGAACAUCUGUGGCGAAGGCGGCCAUCUGGACCAGCACUGACACUGAGGCACGAAAGCGUGGGGAGCAAACAGG
rnacentral:rRNA from 1 species